CAUACGUUUUAACCCAGCGGGUGCUGUAAACAGUACGUUGGCGGUUCACACCAGUUCAGAAAUUACCAAGGCAUCCAGUCUCCCAGCAAGUGCCAAGAGGCAUUCAUUCAAUGCUCCGCUGACACCAAUUUGCCCAAAGAAUAUUUAUGUGGGAGACUCCUCAGAUUGUGGAGACCCCAGAUUGUGGAGGCUCCUGGGCAGCUGGUCUUUUUGUGGACUCCUAAAUCUGGCACUGAACAAAAUUCUCUCUCUCUCUCUCUCUCUCUCUCUCUCUCUCUCUCUCUCUCUCUCUCUCUCUCUCUCUCUCUCUCUCUCUCUCUCUCUCUCUCUCUCUCUC